rnacentral:rRNA from 1 species
GAUGAACGCUGGCGGCGUGCCUAAUACAUGCAAGUCGAGCGAACGGACGAGAAGCUUGCUUCUCUGAUGUUAGCGGCGGACGGGUGAGUAACACGUGGAUAACCUACCUAUAAGACUGGGAUAACUUCGGGAAACCGUAGCUAAUACCGGAUAAUAUUUUGAACCGCAUGGUUCAAAAGUGAAAGACGGUCUUGCUGUCACUUAUAGAUGGAUCCGCGCUGCAUUAGCUAGUUGGUAAGGUAACGGCUUACCAAGGCAACGAUGCGUAGCCGACCUGAGAGGGUGAUCGGCCACACUGGAACUGAGACACGGUCCAGACUCCUACGGGAGGCAGCAGUAGGGAAUCUUCCGCAAUGGGCGAAAGCCUGACGGAGCAACGCCGCGUGAGUGAUGAAGGUCUUCGGAUCGUAAAACUCUGUUAUUAGGGAAGAACAUAUGUGUAAGUAACUGUGCACAUCUUGACGGUACCUAAUCAGAAAGCCACGGCUAACUACGUGCCAGCAGCCCGCGGUAAUACGUANGUAGCAAGCGUUAUCCGGAAUAUUGGGCGUAAAGCGCGCGUAGGCGGUUUUUUAAGUCUGAUGUGAAAGCCCACGGCUCAACCCGUGGAGGGUCAUUGGAAACUGGAAAACUUGAGUGCAGAAGAGGAAAGUGGAAUUCCAUGUGUAGCGGUGAAAUGCGCAGAGAUAUGGAGGAACACCAGUGGCGAAGGCGACUUUCUGGUCUGUAACUGACGCUGAUGUGCGAAAGCGUGGGGAUCAAACAGGAUUAGAUACCCUGGUAGUCCACGCCGUAAACGAUGAGUGCUAAGUGUUAGGGGGUUUCCGCCCCUUAGUGCUGCAGCUAACGCAUUAAGCACUCCGCCUGGGGAGUACGACCGCAAGGUUGAAACUCAAAGGAAUUGACGGGGACCCGCACAAGCGGUGGAGCAUGUGGUUUAAUUCGAAGCAACGCGAAGAACCUUACCAAAUCUUGACAUCCUUUGACAACUCUAGAGAUAGAGCCUUCCCCUUCGGGGGACAAAGUGACAGGUGGUGCAUGGUUGUCGUCAGCUCGUGUCGUGAGAUGUUGGGUUAAGUCCCGCAACGAGCGCAACCCUUAAGCUUAGUUGCCAUCAUUAAGUUGGGCACUCUAAGUUGACUGCCGGUGACAAACCGGAGGAAGGUGGGGAUGACGUCAAAUCAUCAUGCCCCUUAUGAUUUGGGCUACACACGUGCUACAAUGGACAAUACAAAGGGCAGCGAAACCGCGAGGUCAAGCAAAUCCCAUAAAGUUGUUCUCAGUUCGGAUUGUAGUCUGCAACUCGACUACAUGAAGCUGGAAUCGCUAGUAAUCGUAGAUCAGCAUGCUACGGUGAAUACGUUCCCGGGUCU